CUUGCUCCGGAUNNACGGCGGANGGGUGAGUACACGUGGGUACCUGCCUGUAAGACUGGGAUAACUCCGGGAAACCGGAGCUAAUACCGGAUAGUUCCUUGAACCGCAUGGUUCAAGGAUGAAAGACGGUUUCGGCUGUCACUUACAGAUGGACCCGCGGCGCAUUAGCUAGUUGGUGGGGUAAUGGCUCACCAAGGCGACGAUGCGUAGCCGACCUGAGAGGGUGAUCGGCCACACUGGGACUGAGACACGGCCCAGACUCCUACGGGAGGCAGCAGUAGGGAAUCUUCCGCAAUGGACGAAAGUCUGACGGAGCAACGCCGCGUGAGUGAUGAAGGUUUUCGGAUCGUAAAGCUCUGUUGUUAGGGAAGAACAAGUGCGAGAGUAACUGCUCGCACCUUGACGGUNCCUAACCAGAAAGCCACGGCUAACUACGUGCCAGC
rnacentral:rRNA from 1 species